GCGGAUGUGGUGGAACUGGUAGACACGCGGUCCUCAGGAGGCCGUGGGCGAAAGCCCGUGGGGGUUCGAAUCCCUCCAUCCGCACCU
rnacentral:tRNA from 1 species